rnacentral:rRNA from 1 species
UACGGGAGGCAGCAGUGAGGAAUAUUGGACAAUGGGCGGGAGCCUGAUCCAGCCAUGCCGCGUGCAGGAUGACGGCCCUAUGGGUUGUAAACUGCUUUUAUACGGGAAGAAACGCACCUACGUGUAGGUGUCUGACGGUACCGUAAGAAUAAGGACCGGCUAACUCCGUGCCAGCAGCCGCGGUAAUACGGAGGGUCCGAGCGUUAUCCGGAAUCAUUGGGUUUAAAGGGUCCGUAGGCGGGCCUGUAAGUCAGGGGUGAAAGUUUGUGGCUCAACCAUAAAAUUGCCUUUGAUACUGCAGGUCUUGAGUCAUGGGGGGGUUGCCGGAACAUGUGGUGUAGCGGUGAAAUGCAUAGAUAUCACAUAGAACACCGAUCGGGAAGGCAGGUGACCAACCAUGUACUGACGCUGAUGGACGAAAGCGUGGGUAGCGAACGGGAUUAGAUACCCCGGUMGUCCACGCCGUAAACGAUGGAUACUAGCUGUGGGGACUUCGGUCUCCGUGGCCAAGCGAAA